UACGGAGGGUGCAAGCGUUGUUCGGAAUUAUUGGGCGUAAAGCGCGUGUAGGCGGCCUCAUUAGUCCGAUGUGAAAGCCCGGGGCUCAACCCCGGAAGUGCAUUGGAAACUGUAAGGCUUGAGUUCGGGAGAGGAAGGCAGAAUUCCCGGUGUAGGGUUGAAGUCCGUAGAUAUCGAGAGGAAAACCGGUGGCGAAGGCGGCCUUCUGGAACGAAACUGACGCUGAGGCGCGAAAGCGUGGGGAGCAAAC
rnacentral:rRNA from 1 species